GUGGGAUGUGGUUACAAAUGAGGAAGCGGUAGCGAUGAUCAAACCAGUUGACGACCCCGAGCAGGCAGCAAAGAGACUGCUACAUGAAGCUUAUCAAAGAGGGAGCGCCGACAACAUCACCUGCGUCGUCGUUCGUUUCAUGCCCAGCCGUGACAGCAUGGCCAUGGCCGCCCGUGAUAGCACUGCCAAGGCGGAGCUGCGGUAAAACCGGUCUGUUAACUGUUUAGCUGUGUCUGUAAUUAAUGUGAACUCGAAGUGCAAUAAAAAAAUACUGCUCGUGCAUUUUUAGACAACUACCCGUAGAAGUCCAACUCCCUGCUUGGAACGCUGGGUAUUGAUGGCUUUUUCGGCAUCGUUUCAUGUCAGGGAUUAGUUU
rnacentral:misc_RNA from 1 species